CAGGCCGCCGCGCCGGGCAACGAGACCUGCCCCGCGGCUCAGCCAGCGGCAGGCGCCUUACCCCGGGCCUGGUGUUCAGUGGGGGAAGGAGAGCUGCCUAUGCAACUGGAAAUGGAUAAUGGCAUACAAUGGACCUCCAAGUGUGAUGGAGAUGUCCAGCAUUGCCUUGUCCUGGAAGAAGAGGAGACAGGCUGCCAGAGGCCUACUUCUGAUGGAUCUGGCUGUCUCAGGUGGUCUUGAGGACCUGCUGCAAUACUAGUGGGCAGACAUGAAGGACUGGUAACGACUCUCGCAUGCUGAUGUGCUUUGGGCCACAGAUACCGACUAGACAGAGGACAGCACAGAAAGGGAACAGACACAGAGGAUCAGAAGCAGUCAGGGAACAUUAACUGCAUACAUGCAUAAUUAUUACUACAGUGACCUGAUGGAAAUUCUGCAAGGAAUUCAGAACGUGACUGUGUACAAGGAACAUUAAGAAUCAAGCCUUUCUUGAUCUGUUUUGUGUUUCCAGACAUAUUUUAUCAAGAUGAUAUAAUAAAUAAUAUAAAUAAAUACUAAUUCAUAACAAUAUCUUGCAUUGUGAUUGGACCUUUUAGCAGAGGAUAUCUGGGGAUUUUGAUAAUGAAAAAGCACUAUAAUAAUAUAUAAAAUCAAGCUGAAUAUCUCCACAUUGUGGCCCAGACAAAACAAUAUAAAAAUCACAAAAGGGAAGAUUAGGGUACUCCGACUGCCACAGUCCACACUGUGGACUGUUUUGUGUGUUGAUUUUGAACUAUUAUGAAACUAUUGUGACAAAUUAAGGAGGAAGAUCACCAAUGCACUUUAAUUGUUAUGAUUCCAUUCCACACUAUGCAUAAUGUAUACAAAUUAAAUGUUGUGUGACAAUUUAAUAUGAUUGACAGGUCAGAUUUGUGGACUGUAGAUUAUGGAGUUUCAUGAUAUGCUGAAAUUAAUAAAACACAAUCCACUGAUCCAUGGUUUUAUAGCAGCCUGUCUCAGUCUAAGGUCAAACUAGAAAAGUUUUCUGACAAGUGCUGUAGGUCUGAUUCCCUGCUUUUGAUGUCAAUUAGAUGUUUAACUAAAUAAGUAUGAUAUAAGCAAGAAGAUACUCCAAAAGAAAAAUGUAAAAACUACUAAUUAAAAACAAAAGUUAUGGUAACAUAAGUGUCUUUAAGUUUUGCAAUAAUCCUUCCAGUACUUUUGCAUCCCAAAAGACUCCAGAUGUGACCAGCCACUGCAAAAUGGUAAGUUGUUUAUCAGCAUUCUACACUGCAAACUGGCACCUGUAAUUUCACUCUCACUUUGCAUCAGCAGAAUUAAGAUACCUAGAAAAACCCUACCAAGACAAGUUUCUGUGUAUUAAUGU